ACUUAUGCAGUUUUAUGGGUUUUAUGUGUAUUUAAACUUAAUCAUUACUGUUUUCAUGCAAUUACAUAAAUGUUUAACAUAUGUUACUUUAUACACUUUUUUUUUUACCUUUACAAUAGCACCAAUGUCAUCAUAUGCAGUACCAUCAGCAUCAAUAUCAUCUGCAGUACCAUCAGCACCUCAAGCAAUAAUAUCAG
rnacentral:lncRNA from 1 species